rnacentral:rRNA from 1 species
CGACCGGCGCACGGGUGCGUAACGCGUAUGCAACCUACCUUUAACAGGGGGAUAACACUGAGAAAUUGGUACUAAUACCCCAUAAUAUCAUAGAAGGCAUCUUUUAUGGUUGAAAAUUCCGAUGGUUAGAGAUGGGCAUGCGUUGUAUUAGCUAGUUGGUGGGGUAACGGCUCACCAAGGCGACGAUACAUAGGGGGACUGAGAGGUUAACCCCCCACACUGGUACUGAGACACGGACCAG